UUUAAAAAAACAAAAGGACUCCAAGCACAUAUCUGAUGAUGCCGUGUGGAAAUAAAUUCCUGAGUUUCCUGGAC